GGACUACACGGGUUUCUAAUCCUGUUUGCUACCCACGCUUUCGUGCCUCAGCGUCAAUAUUUGUUUAGUGAGCUGCCUUCGCAAUCGGUGUUCUAAGUCAUCUCUAAGCAUUUCACCGCUACAUGACUUGUUCCACUCACCUCAACAACAUUCAAGAUAACUAGUAUCCACGGCAGUUCUGCAGUUAAGCUGCAGGAUUUCACCACGGACUUAAUUACCCGCCUACGCACCCUUUAAACCCAGUGAAUCCGGAUAACGCUUGCACCCUCCGUAUUACCGCGGCUGCUGGCAC
rnacentral:rRNA from 1 species